rnacentral:rRNA from 1 species
UACGUAGGGGGCUAGCGUUGUCCGGAAUCAUUGGGCGUAAAGAGCGCGUAGGCGGCCCAGUAAGUCCGCUCUGAAAGUCAGAGGCUCAACCUCUGAAUGCGGGUGGAUACUGCUGGGCUAGAGUCCGGAAGAGGCGAGUGGAAUUCCUGGUGUAGCGGUGGAAUGCGCAGAUAUCAGGAGGAACACCGGUGGCGAAGGCGGGUCUCUGGGCAGUAACUGACGCUGAGGAGCGAAAGCGUGGGGAGCGAACAGG